rnacentral:rRNA from 1 species
CAGCAGCCGCGGUAAUACGAAGGGGGCUAGCGUUGUUCGGAAUUACUGGGCGUAAAGCGCACGUAGGCGGACAUUUAAGUCAGGGGUGAAAUCCCGGGGCUCAACCCCGGAACUGCCUUUGAUACUGGGUGUCUAGAGUAUGGAAGAGGUGAGUGGAAUUCCGAGUGUAGAGGUGAAAUUCGUAGAUAUUCGGAGGAACACCAGUGGCGAAGGCGGCUCACUGGUCCAUUACUGACGCUGAGGUGCGAAAGCAUGGGGAGCAAACAGGAUUAGAGACCCCAGUAGUCCCUGUCUCUUAUAC